AGUGAACGCUGGCGGUAGGCCUAACACAUGCAAGUCGAACGGCAGCACAGUAAGAGCUUGCUCUUACGGGUGGCGAGUGGCGGACGGGUGAGGAAUACAUCGGAAUCUACUUUUUUGUGGGGGAUAACGUAGGGAAACUUACGCUAAUACCGCAUACGACCUACGGGUGAAAGCAGGGGAUCUUCGGACCUUGCGCGAUUGAAUGAGCCGAUGUCGGAUUAGCUAGUUGGCGGGGUAAAGGCCCACCAAGGCGACGAUCCGUAGCUGGUCUGAGAGGAUGAUCAGCCACACUGGAACUGAGACACGGUCCAGACUCCUACGGGAGGCAGCAGUGGGGAAUAUUGGACAAUGGGCGCAAGCCUGAUCCAGCCAUACCGCGUGGGUGAAGAAGGCCUUCGGGUUGUAAAGCCCUUUUGUUGGGAAAGAGAAGCAGCAGGUUAAUACCCCGCUGUUCUGACGGUACCCAAAGAAUAAGCACCGGCUAACUUCGUG
rnacentral:rRNA from 1 species